CAGUGGCGGACGGGUGAGUAACGCGUAGGAACAUGUCCAGGGGUGGGGGAUAACGCUGGGAAACUGGCGCUAAUACCGCAUGUGAGCUGAGGCUCAAAGCCGCGAGGCGCCUUUGGAGUGGCCUGCGUCCGAUUAGCUUGUUGGUGGGGUAAUGGCUUACCAAGGCUUCGAUCGGUAGCUGGUCUGAGAGGACGACCAGCCACACUGGGACUGAGACACGGCCCAG
rnacentral:rRNA from 1 species